rnacentral:rRNA from 1 species
AUUGAACGCUAGCGGGAUGCUUUACACAUGCAAGUCGAACGAGUGGCGGACGGGUGAGUAAUAUAUCGGAACGUGCCCAGUAGCGGGGGAUAACUACUCGAAAGUGUGGCUACUAACGCACACCAUUGGAGCGGCCGAUUUCGGAUUAGCUAGGUGGUGGGGGAAAGGCACACCAAGGCAACGAUCCGGAGCGGGUUUGAGAGGAAGACCAGCCACACGGGAACUGAGACACGGCCCAGACUCCUACGGGAGGCAGCAGUGGGGAAUUUUGGACAAUGGGGGAAACCCUGAUCCAGCCAUGCCGCGUGUAUGAGAAGGCCUUCGGGUUGUAAAGUACUUUUGGCAGGGAAGCGGUAUCUGCAGAAUAAGCACCGGCUAACUACGUGCCAGCAGCCGCGGUAAUUC